rnacentral:rRNA from 1 species
UACGUAGGGUGCGAGCGUUGUCCGGAAUUAUUGGGCGUAAAGAGCUCGUAGGCGGUUUGUCGCGUCGACUGUGAAAACCUGGGGCUUAACUCUGGGCCUGCAGUCGAUACGGGCAGACUUGAGUUCGGUAGGGGAGACUGGAAUUCCUGGUGUAGCGGUGAAAUGCGUAGAUAUCUGGAGGAACACCGGUGGCGAAGGCGGCAUCCUGGACCAACACUGACGCUGAGGAGCGAAAGCCAGGGGAGCAAACGGG